GAUGAAGAACGUAGCGAAAUGCGAUAAGUAGUGUGAAUUGCAGAAUUCAGUGCAUCAUCGAAUCUUUGAACGCACAUUGCGCCCCUUGGUAUUCCAUGGGGCAUGCCUGUUCGAGCGUCAUUUGUACCUUCAAGCUUUGCUUGGUGUUGGGUGUUUGUCUCGCCUUUGCGUGUAGACUCGCCUUAAAAUAAUUGGCAGCCGGCGUAUUGAUUUCGGAGCGCAGUACAUCUCGCGCUUUGCACUCAUAACGACAGCGUCCAAAAGUACAUUUUACACUCUUGACCUCGGAUCAGGUAGGGAUACCCGCUGAACUUAAGCAUAUCAAUAAGCGGAGGA
rnacentral:misc_RNA from 1 species